UAUCAUUACGUAUUAGAGGGGGAUACCAAUGGCCGAAGGCCACGUGUGUGGGGGCAUAAUCCCCAGAAAAUGUUUGAAAUUUGAAACCCGGAAAUGCUAUUUCCUGCAUUCUGAGCAUCCAAAAAAUAAAAAAAAUAUUAACAAUAAUUUAUCAUUACUUUAUUAUAUAGUGGUAGAAAAACGUAACAAUUUAAAUCGAUUUUGUUAAACAAGGAUAAAGCCUAAAACUUACUUUCCGUUUAUCUAUUUGUUAUUCUCCACUGGUUUGUUUGCAUAAUUUUAGGAAAAAGGGAC